rnacentral:rRNA from 1 species
UACGGGGGGGGCAAGCGUUAAUCGGAAUUACUGGGCGUAAAGCGUGCGCAGGCGGCUUUGCAAGACAGAUGUGAAAUCCCCGGGCUCAACCUGGGAACUGCAUUUGUGACUGCAUGGCUAGAGUGCGGCAGAGGGGGAUGGAAUUCCGCGUGUAGCAGUGAAAUGCGUAGAUAUGCGGAGGAACACCGAUGGCGAAGGCAAUCCCCUGGGCCUGCACUGACGCUCAUGCACGAAAGCGUGGGGAGCAAUCAGG